rnacentral:rRNA from 1 species
AUGGGCCUGCACCGUGCCUUCCUUUUAUAUAUCGGUUGGGGAGCAGCCUGCAUCGAUCAACAACGAUUCAUUCGUCUAUCCUUGGUUGCAAAAGUUUCAUCAGCCCUAUGCUCAAAAAAAAAAAGUUUCAUCAGCCCUUCCACAAUCGUUCAUCCAUCAAAUAGUCCCACCUCACUUUAUUACAUUGAUGAAUCAGACCAGUUUAUAUACAUCUUGCAACCUUGGAAAUCAAACAAGCAGAGGGCAAAAGGAGGGAUUGGUGGGCGGCGGAGGGAGGCCUGUGAUGCAGCGAGGCGGAUGCGCUGCUCAUAUGAGCACGCAUCAAAUUUAGCCUCAUCAAGUUGGUAG